rnacentral:rRNA from 1 species
GCAUGGUGUGUGGGUGGAAAGAUUUUUUGGUUUUGGAUGGACUCGCGGCCUAUCAGCUUGUUGGUGAGGUAAUGGCUUACCAAGGCGACGACGGGUAGCCGGCCUGAGAGGGUGACCGGCCACACUGGGACUGAGACACGGCCCAGACUCCUACGGGAGGCAGCAGUGGGGAAUAUUGCACAAUGGGCGAAAGCCUGAUGCAGCGACGCCGCGUGAGGGAUGACGGCCUUCGGGUUGUAAACCUCUUUCAGUAGGGAACAAGGCAUCAUUUUUGUGGUGUUGAGGGUACCUGCAGAAGAAGCACCGGCUAACUACGUGCCAGCAGCCGCGGUAAUACGUAGGGUGCAAGCGUUAUCCGGAAUUAUUGGGCGUAAAGAGCUCGUAGGCGGUUUGUCGCGUCUGUCGUGAAAGUCCGGGGCUCAACUCCGGAUCUGCGGUGGGUACGGGCAGACUAGAGUGAUGUAGGGGAGACUGGAAUUCCUGGUGUAGCGGUGGAAUGCGCAGAUAUCAGGAGGAACACCGAUGGCGAAGGCAGGUCUCUGGGCAUUAACUGACGCUGAGGAGCGAAAGCAUGGGGAGCGAACAGGAUUAGAUACCCUGGUAGUCCAUGCCGUAAACGUUGGGCACUAGGUGUGGGGGACAUUCCACGUUCUCCGCGCCGUAGCU